rnacentral:rRNA from 1 species
UACGUAGGGGGCUAGCGUUGUCCGGAAUCAUUGGGCGUAAAGAGCGUGUAGGCGGCCCGGUAAGUCCGCUGUGAAAGCCCGGGGCUCAACCCCGGAACGGCAUCCGAUACUGGCGGGCUUGAGACCGGGAGAGGAGGGUGGAAUACCCAGUGUAGAGGUGAAAUUCGUAGAUAUUGGGUGGAACACCGGUGGCGAAAGCGGCUCUCUGGCCCGGAUCUGACGCUGAGGCGCGACAGCGUGGGGAGCAAACAGG